AUGGCGCUGCUCUCUCCCUCCAGCACUUCGCGGCAGGAUCUGUCGCCGCCGGCGGACUCUCUACUUCCCACCUCUCAGGGUGUAUCCAGCAAUGGACCCAAAGCUGACGUUGCUAGGAACAAGGAGGUUGAUCAUUUGUUGGCAAAAUUAGAAAAGGAGGGAGUGGAGAUAGAUGGCAAGAUAGCUAGUAUUAUUGAUGAUGAGAUAGCUCGAAUUAAAGCUGAAGCUGAGAGGGAGAACAUCAAUGAAGAAAAAAGGAGGAUUAAAGCACUGCUCACUAUUGCAGGUGUCGCUGUUGGUUUCGUCGUGGGUAUGAAGUGCGAAAUAGAUAAAUACCGUAAGGCAUUUGCCAAGAUAUAUGGAAGACCAAGUAGGUAA
rnacentral:rRNA from 1 species